rnacentral:rRNA from 1 species
AAAUUGAAGAGUUUGAUCAUGGCUCAGAUUGAACGCUGGCGGCAGGCCUAACACAUGCAAGUCGAGCGGUAGCACAGAGAGCUUGCUCUCGGGUGACGAGCGGCGGACGGGUGAGUAAUGUCUGGGAAACUGCCUGAUGGAGGGGGAUAACUACUGGAAACGGUAGCUAAUACCGCAUAACGUCGCAAGACCAAAGUGGGGGACCUUCGGGCCUCAUGCCAUCAGAUGUGCCCAGAUGGGAUUAGCUAGUAGGUGGGGUAACGGCUCACCUAGGCGACGAUCCCUAGCUGGUCUGAGAGGAUGACCAGCCACACUGGAACUGAGACACGGUCCAGACUCCUACGGGAGGCAGCAGUGGGGAAUAUUGCACAAUGGGCGCAAGCCUGAUGCAGCCAUGCCGCGUGUGUGAAGAAGGCCUUCGGGUUGUAAAGCACUUUCAGCGGGGAGGAAGGCGGUGAGGUUAAUAACCUCAUCGAUUGACGUUACCCGCAGAAGAAGCACCGGCUAACUCCGUGCCAGCAGCCGCGGUAAUACGGAGGGUGCAAGCGUUAAUCGGAAUUACUGGGCGUAAAGCGCACGCAGGCGGUCUGUCAAGUCGGAUGUGAAAUCCCCGGGCUCAACCUGGGAACUGCAUUCGAAACUGGCAGGCUAGAGUCUUGUAGAGGGGGGUAGAAUUCCAGGUGUAGCGGUGAAAUGCGUAGAGAUCUGGAGGAAUACCGGUGGCGAAGGCGGCCCCCUGGACAAAGACUGACGCUCAGGUGCGAAAGCGUGGGGAGCAAACAGGAUUAGAUACCCUGGUAGUCCACGCUGUAAACGAUGUCGAUUUGGAGGUUGUGCCCUUGAGGCGUGGCUUCCGGAGCUAACGCGUUAAAUCGACCGCCUGGGGAGUACGGCCGCAAGGUUAAAACUCAAAUGAAUUGACGGGGGCCCGCACAAGCGGUGGAGCAUGUGGUUUAAUUCGAUGCAACGCGAAGAACCUUACCUGGUCUUGACAUCCACAGAACUUUCCAGAGAUGGAUUGGUGCCUUCGGGAACUGUGAGACAGGUGCUGCAUGGCUGUCGUCAGCUCGUGUUGUGAAAUGUUGGGUUAAGUCCCGCAACGAGCGCAACCCUUAUCCUUUGUUGCCAGCGGUUCGGCCGGGAACUCAAAGGAGACUGCCAGUGAUAAACUGGAGGAAGGUGGGGAUGACGUCAAGUCAUCAUGGCCCUUACGACCAGGGCUACACACGUGCUACAAUGGCAUAUACAAAGAGAAGCGACCUCGCGAGAGCAAGCGGACCUCAUAAAGUAUGUCGUAGUCCGGAUUGGAGUCUGCAACUCGACUCCAUGAAGUCGGAAUCGCUAGUAAUCGUAGAUCAGAAUGCUACGGUGAAUACGUUCCCGGGCCUUGUACACACCGCCCGUCACACCAUGGGAGUGGGUUGCAAAAGAAGUAGGUAGCUUAACCUUCGGGAGGGCGCUUACCACUUUGUGAUUCAUGACUGGGGUGAAGUCGUAACAAGGUAACCGUAGGGGAACCUGCGGUUGGAUCACCUCCUUACCUUAAAGAA